rnacentral:rRNA from 1 species
AACGAACGCUGGCGGCGUGGAUAAGACAUGCAAGUCGAACGGGACUAAAUCUGUAGCAAUACAGGUUUAGUUUAGUGGCGAACGGGUGCGUAACACGUGGGGAAUCUGCCGAGAAGUGGGGGAGUAGCUCGCCGAAAGGACGGAAUUAAUACCGCAUAUGAUCAGCUAAGACAUCUUAGCGACAUCAAAGACCGGGGUAACCGUGGC